GUUCGCGUAGCUUAAGCAAAGCAUGGCACUGAAGAUGCCAAGAUAGGCCCUAAAAAGCCUCGCUAACA
rnacentral:tRNA from 1 species